rnacentral:tRNA from 2 species
GCGGAAGUGGCUCAGUGGUGGAGCAUCGCCUUGCCAAGGCGAGGGUCGCGGGUUCGAAUCCCGUCUUCCGCUCCA